rnacentral:rRNA from 1 species
GACGGAGGGGGCAAGCGUUGUCCGGAAUUACUGGGCGUAAAGCGCUCGUAGGCGGUGUCAUACGGCGGUGGUGAAAGCUCCCGGCUCAACUGGGAGAGGCCCGCCGCAACGGUGGCACUUGAGGGUGGUAGAGGCAGAUGGAAUUCCUGGUGUAGCGGUGAAAUGCGUAGAGAUCAGGAGGAACACCCGUGGCGAAGGCGGUCUGCUGGGCCACACCUGACGCUGAGGAGCGAAAGCCAGGGGAGCGAAC